GACAAACGCUGGCGGCGUGCUUAACACAUGCAAGUCGAACGGAAAGUGCCCAGCUUGCUGGGUGACUCGAGUGGCGAACGGGUGAGUAACACGUGGGUGAUCUGCCCUGCACUUUGGGAUAAGCCUGGGAAACUGGGUCUAAUACCGAAUACACCCUGCUGGUCGCAUGGCCUGGUGGGGGAAAGCUUUUGCGGUGUGGGAUGGGCCCGCGGCCUAUCAGCUUGUUGGUGGGGUGAUGGCCUACCAAGGCGACGACGGGUAGCCGGCCUGAGAGGGUGUCCGGCCACACUGGGACUGAGAUACGGCCCAGACUCCUACGGGAGGCAGCAGUGGGGAAUAUUGCACAAUGGGCGCAAGCCUGAUGCAGCGACGCCGCGUGAGGGAUGACGGCCUUCGGGUUGUAAACCUCUUUCAAUAGGGACGAAGCGUAAGUGACGGUACCUAUAGAAGAAGCACCGGCCAACUACGUGCCAGCAGCAGCCGCGGUAA
rnacentral:rRNA from 1 species